UAUUAAAACCUUAAAAACAGAAAAAUAGCUAACAAAGACAAAAGAAAAUAAAAGAAAGAAACAAUAAAAGAAAAUAUAAAAUAACAAAGGAAACAGGAACAGAAAUAAAAGAAAAGACAAUGAAACCGACACACCUGGCAUUCGAAGUGGUGACCUGCUGACAAGAAAGAAACAGAGGCGCUGGAAAAUAUUGGGAAAAGAAGCAAAAUUUCAGUGCUCUGGAGAGUUGAACCCGUGACAGCAAACAUGAACUAGAGGCCCAUUUCCUCAUCUCUCCUAACUGGCGCCGUACCCACGAGCCCAGAGCUGUGAAAGCUAUCUCCUUCAUUUCCUCUUUCCCUUCAUUUCUCAUGGAACUGAAACCCUAGCUUCCAUCAUCAACCCAGAACGUCAAAACAUGAAUCCAUCUCCAUCUCUGUCAAAAACGGAACCCAGCCAUGGCGAUCUUUGAUUCUAGCCCAGAUUGUCACCAUCGUGCAUUCCUCUGCGAAACCCGAGACUUGGGGAUCCGAGUAAGGCCAGGGGGCAUAGGAACUGCAAGGAGCAAUGGCUCACAAAUGAAGGUGCUGUACACACAGCAAAGAUGGCUGCAAGAACUCGGAUCUACAAAAUGAAAGGUAAAUCAAAUCCCUCCACUGCGUUAAAAUUAAGCAUGGUUUAAUAUCUCUGAAAGUCAUACAGAUUUGUGAAAUGUUUCUGUCAUGCAUUUAUUGACCUAAAAUUUCGUCAAUGCUCAUGUAAUUUUCUGUGUGCUUGCAUGCCUCCAUGUGACAAAUAUUGAGACAAAAACUGUGCAUGACACUGGAUCUGUGACAUGGCUUUGAUGAAUGUCCACCUCUGUGUUGCCUGGACCAACAAUAUUUUAAUGAAAUAUGAGAGUGAGCGAGCGAAAGAUAAAUAUUGAUGAAUGCUCAGAUAAAUGUUGAUGAAUGGAUGACUGAUGAAUGCAUAUUUUUGUAUCUUUAUUGUUUCGUUUAUAGAAGAGUAAGGUUUAUGUC